AUACUUAGCUGGCGGGGGAUAAGCCAUGAUCACAAAGGCGGUUUUCUCAGGGCAAGGCUUGUCCCUUGCACACCAGAUGUGCUGACCCCUGAGAUUUCCCCAGGUGUGGGAAACUCAACUGUAUAAUUUGUGGUAGCGGGAACUGUGUUCAUGCUAUGUAGUAUUCUUGCUAUGUAGUCCUGA
ensembl:snRNA U1 U1 spliceosomal RNA